rnacentral:lncRNA from 1 species
GCACAGCCAAGGUUAAACACCACUUGAACUCUGUGACUUAAAGCAAGUUUUCCAGGCCAGCCCCCGUGGCCUAGUGGUUAAGUUCAGCGCACUCUAAUUCAGCGGCCUGAGUUCAGUUCCUGGGUGUGGACUUACACCAUCUGUCUGUCAGUGGCCCUGCUAUGGCAGCAGCCCAUAUACAAAAAGAGGAAGAUUGGCAACAGAUGUUAGCUUCAAGGGAAAUCUUUCUCAGCCAAAAAAAAACGCGAGUUUUCUAAUUUGGCAAAGAUUUAAUUUCCUUCUUGGUAAGAUGGAGCAAGAAGCCUUAGGGCCUGUAGUAGUAGAAGCAGGAAAGCCACAUUUGGAUCCAAGCAGCAUCCUAAAGGUGAGCAACACCCUGCAGGGAUCCCAUCCACACAAGCAGCCCCAGAAGUAAGCAGCAGCUAGAGGGCUGAAGCCUGUGUUAGCACUCGCCCAGGACAGAUUAUUCCAGCAGGAUGAAGGCAUCAAUCCAGAUCCAGGGCCAGAAGGACCCUGACUGCUGCAGCCACCUUGGUGGUUAGGUGGCUUUCCUCGUUGUCACUGCUACCAUGACAUUGGAAAUCUCUCCACGUAUUAUGAACCAACACAGGAAUCCCAGACCUCCUUUCAAAGUCCUGCAGUCCUCCCCACCAAGCCCUACAACUAGCAGGGGACCUAGAAAUAGACACUUUGCAGCGGAGGGAGCCAGAUUCUCCAAUUUUCCCUUAAUGGUAGGAGCAUCAACAUCAACGUUCUAUUAGUCAAAAUCUCUAAAAACUCUCAGCCUCUUCUGAAAGAGGCAACAGGGAGUCUGACAGACCUGGGUUUGAAUCCUGGCUCCGCUACUUACUGACUGUGAGACCUUCCAGUUCCUCAGAUUCCUCAUGUAUAAAUAAUAAUAAUAAUGUGG